rnacentral:lncRNA from 1 species
GAUAAUGCUCCCAGUUUCAUAGUUUUACAGCCCGACCCCAGCCCAUGCCGUGGCUGAUUCCAGCCCUGCCCAUGCCUCCUCUGAUUGAUCCAGGAAUUCAUCCUACCUGUAUGCUAACUGCCUAAAGUGUUUUAAUGGCAAGAUAUCCGUAAUACAGUCUCUGAUUGAAACCAAACCAAAGGAAACCAAGCACAAGAAAUGUAAUUUCUGAACCAUUGAAGGAAAUGAGAGUCUGUCCAUGAG